AACGAACGCUGGCGGCGUGCCUAACACAUGCAAGUCGAGCGGGAAAGCCCGCAAGGGUGAGUACAGCGGCGCACGGGUGCGUAACACGUGGGUAAUCUGCCCAGAAGCCCGGAAUAACCUUCCGAAAGGAAAGCUAAUACCGGAUGAGACCACGGGGACCUCGGUUCCCGCGGGAAAAGGUGGCCUCUGCAUGCAAGCUAUCACUUCUGGAUGAGCCCGCGGCCCCUCAGCUCGUUGGCGGGGUAAUGGCCCACCAAGGCUACGACGGGUAGCUGGUCUGAGAGGACGAUCAGCCACACUGGAACUGAGACACGGUCCAGACUCCUACGGGAGGCAGCAGUGGGGAAUCUUGCGCAAUGGGCGAAAGCCUGACGCAGCAACGCCGCGUGUGUGAUGAAGGUCUUCGGAUCGUAAAGCACUGUCGGGAGGGACGAAUAAGGGCCGGGUGAACAAUCCGGUCCGAUGACGGUACCUCCAAAGGAAGCACCGGCUAACUCUGUGCCAGCCGCCGCAGUAAUAC
rnacentral:rRNA from 1 species